AGAGAAUGAUACCAAACAAACGAGGCAAAAAAAGAAAAACUUCCUCUAGAUCCGCCCCUGGACCUGCUGCCUCACAGAUUACACCUCAGGCUCAUCUGUCAGUCUCCCCACACUGGACCAGCUCACUGAUACCUGAGGAAGCAGGAGUCUCAUCCUCUUCCUCAAACCUUCUCACAGCCAUCACUUCAUCAAUGUUCGCCAACCGUGCAAACGGGCGCGCAGCAACCGGUAUGGCGCCAAAGUACUUACCCCCGACAGAGCCUGUCCCCCUGUCCCAAUCAUGGACAAACAGUAUUCCCACAUUCUUGAAAUGUGUUUUACAAGAAUAAAACAGACGUUUUCUCCAGUGAUGCACUCAGAGAGGUGGAGUUUUGUUUCCAGCAGACAUAACUUUGGCAGCGUGCACCAAUCAGAGCAAAGAGUAUUUUUAUAGGAGGCCUGGAAACAAACACAGAGACGUUUACUCGCUGAGAACGCGGUACAUGAAAGUUUCCAUGAAUCCAGUUCAAACACACGUGAUUCUCUCUUAUUCAGCACAAAUACCACGUGACAACAAUACA